ACUUAUAAAGUAUUAUAUACAUUUAAUUUCCAAUUAAAAACCCCAUUAAAAAAUAAUGGUAUAAGUA
rnacentral:tRNA from 1 species